UCCUACGGGAGGCAGCAGUGGGGAAUCUUAGACAAUGGGCGCAAGCCUGAUCUAGCCAUGCCGCGUGUGUGAUGAAGGUCUUAGGAUCGUAAAGCACUUUCGCCAGGGAUGAUAAUGACAGUACCUGGUAAAGAAACCCCGGCUAACUCCGUGCCAGCAGCCGCGGUAAUACGGAGGGGGUUAGCGUUGUUCGGAAUUACUGGGCGUAAAGCGUACGUAGGCGGAUCAGAAAGUUGGGGGUGAAAUCCCGGGGCUCAACCCCGGAACUGCCUCCAAAACUCCUGGUCUUGAGUUCGAGAGAGGUGAGUGGAAUUCCAAGUGUAGAGGUGAAAUUCGUAGAUAUUUGGAGGAACACCAGUGGCGAAGGCGGCUCACUGGCUCGAUACUGACGCUGAGGUACGAAAGUGUGGGGAGCAAACAGGAUUAGAUACCCUGGUAGUCCACACCGUAAACGAUGAAUGCCAGUCGUCGGGCAGUAUACUGUUCGGUGACAUACCUAACGGAUUAAGCAUUCCGCCUGGGGAGUACGGUCGCAAGAUUAAAACUCAAAUGAAUUGACGG
rnacentral:rRNA from 1 species